rnacentral:rRNA from 1 species
GUCGAACGGAAAGGCCCUGCUUGCAGGGUACUCGAGUGGCGAACGGGUGAGUAACACGUGGGUGAUCUGCCCUGCACUUCGGGAUAAGCUUGGGAAACUGGGUCUAAUACCGGAUAGGAGCCAUCUUUAGUGUGGUGGUUGGAAAGUUUUUUCGGUGUAGGAUGAGCUCGCGGCCUAUCAGCUUGUUGGUGGGGUAAUGGCCUACCAAGGCGGCGACGGGUAGCCGGCCUGAGAGGGUGUACGGCCACAUUGGGACUGAGAUACGGCCCAGACUCCUACGGGAGGCAGCAGUGGGGAAUAUUGCACAAUGGGCGCAAGCCUGAUGCAGCGACGCCGCGUGGGGGAUGAAGGCCUUCGGGUUGUAAACUCCUUUCGCUAGGGACGAAGCUUUGUGUGACGGUACCUAGAUAAGAAGCACCGGCUAACUACGUGCCAGCAGCCGCGGUAA